GGAAAAACAGAGAACACAUGUAUUUCAGCUAUACCUAAAGCCACCAUUCAAAUCUAAAUAAUGAAUUCUUAAGUAUAGAUACAGCUAUAAUGAAAUGUAAAGGUUAUGUUUUAAUGCCUUUUUCUUGAUUAAACCCGAUCAUGUUAAGGUAGAUGUGUAAUACCCCGAUAUUUCCCAAUAGAAUAUUUUAGUAAGAAUCUUGAAUUUGGAUUAUAGGUAGUUAUGCCCGGAGAAAAAAAAAAAUCUAGAUAUUUUCAUAGUUAUAUUCAAAUGAUGGUUUAAUUAUCUAAAACCUAGUUCAUGAGAUAUGGCUCCCAAAAGGCCACGCUUCUUUUUACCUUCCAUAAAUUCUCUACUCUUUUACCCCAAUCACCAUUUCGUUCUGCAUUCUUUACUGCAGAAACACCCUUUACACCAAUCACCCAUCACCAAUCAUCCUCAUUUCCUCCCGAUCAUUCGGGACAUUUUCUCCAUAUCUCACUCCAAUAUCUUCCACAAGGCAACAAGCAAAGUACUACUUACUCAAGAAAUAGAAGAAAAAGAAAGAAAACUCAAACAAAACAGUCACAAAACUCAGUCUAUUCAAAGCUAGAACCACAAAACCACACCAAGGUUUCACCUUUAACUUCAUAGCUCUACAUCAUCUACUCUAUAUACUACUCUUUGAUCUGUUACUGCUUAGUUAUUUGAUUAAUAAUUAGUAACACACAAAACCAACGAAAAUCAUCACAGACGAUACCAUCAAACUUGUGCCUUGACAUUUAUACAGAAAUCAUCCCCCGAAACAAGGACUUUAUAAUUGAUUUGUAUAUAUAUAUACUCUUCAAUUUACAUCUAUACUUUAUAUAAGCAGAGAAAAUACAUUUAUACUUUGAGCUGGACUUUUGUGAAGGAAUUGAAGAAACACAGAGACGAACGAACCCUUUUAUUUGGAUAAAACUUCAAUCUUUGAGCUCCGAUCUUGUUGAGCUUGAUUCUUGUUGUGAGUGUCGGUGUGUGCGGUGUGAGUCGAGGACGUAGCCGAGCAGAGGGACCUCUGCAGCGGUGGCCGCUGCCCGUUCUGGUAAGAGAGCGAGAGAGAUGGAGAUGGUGGAGGGCGGCUGGGCGGCGAUGACAGCGGGCCUGGGGGCUGAUGCUGUUGUCGCCAAAUGAGAGUAGGGCGGCGAUUCUCGCCGUGAAUCGAGGGUAAGAGGCGGCAGCCGUUGGCUGUUGUCGAGUGACAGGAAAGGGAGGGGAUUUCAGAGAGACUUAGGGCUGAGAUUAUGGGAGGAAGGUUUCUGAAUUUUGGGGGAAUUGUGGGUGAAGGGUCUGAGAAGAAAUAGAGACGGAGGAAGGGGUAGCGCCGGUCUGAGGAAGUAACGGUGACGGCCACCGGUGCUGUCUGUGCAGUGCGGCGGAGAAAGGAGACACAGAGAGAGGGGCGGGCGAAGGAGAAGGAUAGAGAGAGAUGAGGGCGGCGGUGGUGAUCGCCGGAGACGCGCCGCCAGAUUCGUGGGAGGCGGCAGGCGGCGUGGAAAAGGAAAAUGGGAAAGAUGGUUUAUGGAGUUUGAGCGUGAGAGAGAGAAAGGGGUUUUGGCUGUGAAGAAGAUGAGGGAAAUUGGGUGGAGUUUAUUUUGGGCUCAUUUUGGGCCAUUGCAAUUAAUUAAAACUUGGACUUAUUUAUUUUCUUUGUUGGGCAUAUAUUAAUUUGAGUAAUGGGCUUAUUUAAUUAUUAAACAAUGCAGCUGCAUCAUAAUUUUAUAUGCAUAUAAUUAUGCCAAUUAUAUGUUAUAAGCGCAUAUAUAAAUGUUUUAUUUAGAAUGAAAAUAUACUAUGUUUUUGAAAAGAAAAAUAUUUAUGUAUUGAAAUUAUUUUUAAGUUAAAAGUUUUAUGAAGUCAAGCAAGGGUAUUGUUGGUGCCCUGAGAUGAAAAUUUGAAUUUUCAAGAUUAUAAAGUGAGUUUUAAAACCCGGGCAUAGCAAAUCAGAACUUAGUACCCUCGCUUUGCUAUUAUCUAAGGCUAGUAUCACAAGACCUAUUAAGAUUAGAUUAUCUUGUAGGCUCAGUUGACCAAGAAGAUUAGCAUUGCUUUUGUAAGAUGAGUUACGUUUGACUUCGGACUUUGUCCAAUCAAGGUGUGCUUUAUUUUACAUACAAUGUAUCUUGAGUUAUAUAAGCUCUGAUAUUUCAUGAAAGUUACUUUUUUAUCCAAUAUAAAUGUUUUUAUGUGUGUUCUGUAUUGUUUAAUGCUCGCAUAAGCAUCGAUCGAGAUUCUCAUUUGGCCUAACACGUUAGAUGAGGAUUGUGUACACAAGGUUAGUGGCUCGAUGGGUUGAUCGCCAUCGUGCACUAACAAAGCUAAGAGGCGUUAUAAGGGUGCUUGUCUGGAUGUGUUCCGAAGCACAGAUAUGAUUAUUGAUCUGACCGGGUGCGUCCCGAGAUUGAUAAAUGGGAUAAAAGAAAGCGAUCCGUCGGUGGCUAGAGGUCCGGGAUCAUAAGCAGCGAGUAACAAUCAAACGUCACAUGGCGCGCCACUUAAUGAGAAAAAGUUUUAUCAUGCUUAGAAGUGGAUUUAUGUUUUAAAACCUUCUGAGUUAUGAUUGUGAUAUUGGAUAAACUGCCUUGGUUAUUUCAUAAAAUAUUUAUAAAAUGCAUAGCUCACUGAGUACACUAGUGCUCAGCCCAAAAUAUUUUUAAAUGUUUUCAGGUUGAUCGGUUGGUGCAGAUGGCGUUGAGCUGAGGCUUGAAUUCUGCUUCGUCUUUUGCUUCCGCUAACGACUAGCUUGCUAUCUUAUUUUUCAAUCCCUUAAACUAAGAUCUUCUAUCAUAUGUUGCAGUAUUAUCUUGUUGAGCUUAGACUCUUAAUUCGUAUUUCUAUUAAUGAAGUCAUCAUUGAUUACUAUCAGAGUCGCGAAACUAAACUUAUGUGAUCCUCUGAGUUUCAAUAUUAUCAAUUGAUUGGCAUCAAUCAAUGCCUUUCGU